AAUCCAUGUUGAGGGCAGUGUUGAAUCAAAUCUUUAUACAUUUCCCAUGCCUCAUAGAGUGAUUCGAAAUCAUUUUACUUGAAUUGACAAUCUCACUCCUGAGUUG